rnacentral:hammerhead_ribozyme from 1 species
GCACUGCUGAAGAGUCCCACAAUAGGACGAAACAGCUGUCCAGUGC